GAUAAUGUUCUUUUAGGGUAAGGUCGGCUAAUCCCCUUAUGAAAGGGGGUGAUGCUUAUGAGUAUGUAUGAGAGUUUUAUGGUACUAUUUGGAUUUGGUACCUUCUUGAUUGCAUUACUCGCAUUGAUCGUUUCGUUGAUCAAUAGAAAAUAGACCUCCCUAUUUGCCCUGAAAAGUAAUUAGGAGAGGUCUAACUCUAUGUGUUAGCCGAUCCCACUGGGGGAACCGCUUAUCCAUAACCCGUAGUAUCAGCUACGGG
rnacentral:sRNA from 2 species